rnacentral:rRNA from 2 species
ACAAACGACUCUCGGCAACGGAUAUCUCGGCUCACGCAUCGAUGAAGAACGUAGCAAAAUGCGAUACUUGGUGUGAAUUGCAGAAUCCCGUGAACCAUCGAGUUUUUGAACGCAAGUUGCGCCCGAGGCCAUUCGGCCGAGGGCACGUCUGCCUGGGCGUCACG